rnacentral:lncRNA from 1 species
GAACUAGGCAGGAGGCAUCUAGCAUGGCCAUUCAUGUUGCCUCCCUCUUCCCAUAUCUGAUGCAUUCACACUGGGGGCAGAGAAGAGAAAGGAAUGCUGGGAACGGACAAGGGAUGCUUGAGACAGGGCUGUCUGCUGGGCGAGAGCACAGCUUAAGUCCCUUGUUCACUCUGUAAGAUGCACAGAGUCUGAAAACAAAAGCACUUUUAUUUUGGGGAAAGCAUCUUCUGAACUUGAAAGCCUCUAAUACCUUUUCUCAUUAAUUUUAUAUGAAACAAGUGUUCAGACAAAUUCUAGCACUUUCCUAUGGGUCAUUCGCUUAAGGAGAGCUUGUGUACAGCAGUGGUGUUGAUUUUUGGCACUGCCUCCCUGGGCACUGAUCUUCUGAAAUGCCUGAACCACACCCUCACCAAUACCCAUGUGCUUAUGACCCCACAAAACCAACCUAUUUUCUGCACAUGGGCAUUUACUAGCCCACUUGACGGGAAGUCUGGAAGCAGAUGGUGGUCCUGAUUGUUUAGUGGCCCAGGGAUUUUGGUGGGGCCUGGGCUCUUCCUGUCCUUCCUGUUUGCCCUCCUCAUGAUGACAAUAUGGUGGUCACAGUUGCAAGCAGCAAAUCCUUACAUGAGAGAUCAAAAGCAAAAGUGGGAAGUAACCUAAGCUCAUUUCUCUUCACAUCUCUCAUUGGUCAAUGAAGGUCUUUCCCAAGUAGGAUUCCUUUAUGUUUCAUUGGCCAGAACUCAGGUGCCAACUGCAGAUCAAUCAUUGGCAAAAAGCAAUUGCUUUGUUAACAUAGAACUCUCAAACCCAAUGGAGGUAUUAUCAUUCUGGAGUAGGUGUGAAAAUUGGUUCUCAGAGGGCUAGAAUACCUUACUCUUUUAAUAUAAAAUGUAGAUAUACACAGCAUAUCUGCGGUAUUACGUUUUCACGGGAGAAGACAAUGUAAAAAGGAUGUAUAAUGCAGAUUAUAUUAUACACAAUGGAGUAUUACUCUGCAUUAAAAAAUGACAAAAUCAUAGAAUUUGCAGGGAAAUGGAUGGCAUUAG